rnacentral:misc_RNA from 1 species
AAGUCGUAACAAGGUUUCCGUAGGUGAACCUGCGGAAGGAUCAUUACAAAUCCAACGUCUCUUUACCGAGACCUCGUUGAACUGUUCCGCUUGGAUAGGAGCGCUUGAUGUCUUCACCGUCAUCAUUCAUCUAUCCUUGCACUCUCCUUUAACUAGUGUGACUGUUGCUCAUUUGUAUGUCUCUUGAACAAAAAACAAGAAACAACUUAUAACAAUGGAUCUCUAGGCUCUU